rnacentral:lncRNA from 1 species
GUCCUUGAGUUCUUCCAGCACGUUCUGAAUGCAAGCGGGGAUAUCGCCAUCAACUCCCCCUUCUUCUUCUUGCUGAAGGACGGGUAACCAUGUCUCCUCCCCACGUUUGAUUCCCUUGGCCAGUUGCAUGGCACUAAGUUGAGGAGAUUUGGAUGUCUUGGGAGGGGCAACAACUGGAACCAUGCAUGGUUUCCCUUCCAAGAUCAUCAGCAUGUUGAAUCUAGGGAACGGAACUACAUCGUACUGCCGAAGG